rnacentral:misc_RNA from 1 species
CAGAGAACAUCGCCCUCACGGGUGACUCUCCAACCCUAUGUUAUUAAAACCUUUGUUGCUUUGGCGAGCCCGCCUUCACGGGCCACCGGCUUCGGCUGGUGAGUGCUCGCCAGAGAACCCCAAACUCUGAAUAUUAAUGUCGUCUGAGUACUAUAUAAUAGUUA